GGACAUGGGGGAACCCUGAUCCAGCGACGCCGCGUGUGUGAAGAAGGCCUGCGGGUUGUAAAGCACUUUUAGUGGGGAUGAGAAGCUCAGGGCUAAUACCUCUGGGUCUUGACCUAACCCACAGAAAAAGCACCGGCUAACUCUGUGCCAGCAGCCGCGGUAAUACAGAGGGUGCAAGCGUUAAUCGGAAUUACUGGGCGUAAAGCGUGCGUAGACGGUUAUGUAAGUCGGGUGUGAAAGCCCCGGGCUCAACCUGGGAAUGCCAUUCGAGACUGCAUAGCUAGGGUACGGAAGAGGGAAGCGGAAUUUCAGGUGUAGCNGGUGAAAUGCGUAGAUAUCUGAAGGAACACCAGUGGCGAAAGCGGCUUCCUGGUCCAGUACCGACGUUCAGGCACGAAAGCGUGGGGAGCAAACAGGAUUAGAUACCCUGGUAGUCCACGCCAUAAACGAUGAGAACUAGUUGUUGGAGGAGUUAAAUCCUUUAGUAACGCAGCUAACGCGUGAAGUCAUCCGCCUGGGGAGUACGGUCGCAAGAUUAAAACUCAAAAAAAUUGACGGA
rnacentral:rRNA from 1 species